GUAGAGGCUCAAUGAAGAUGGUGAAUUUAAGGCAAGAACAUCUGGCAUGUAACAACAUCCCUCAUACCUUCUCAACUUUAGGUGUCGUUUUGGAAUCAGAAUGAUCAAUAUAUCUCCAAAUUAAUCCCAGACUGCUACCCAUUAUGUUCAUAAUCACAGCUGACAUUGCAGAGGGCAAAGCAACCAUAGGAGAGGUGAAAUGAGAGGUGGCAAGGACCACACCCAACGAUGAAUUU